UUUGGGACACAAGUUCACUAGCUGCGCAGAGCUGCAUGACGCAUCACGUGGCAGUUCGCCACUGUAUUCUGUUGACUCUGCGUCUUUGUGAACUUCUUGGAGAAGAGACUGCUUCAGUUGUUCAUGUACCCUCUGUUUUGUUAUUCUUCACUCAGUGC